GACAGAGGAUGCAAGCGUUAUCCGGAAUGAUUGGGCGUAAAGAGCUCGUAGGCGGUUUGUCGCGUCUGCUGUGAAAACCCGAGGCUCAACCUCGGGCCUGCAGUGGGUACGGGCAGACUAGAGUGCGGUAGGGGAGAUUGGAAUUCCUGGUGUAGCGGUGGAAUGCGCAGAUAUCAGGAGGAACACCGGUGGCGAAGGCGGGUCUCUGGGCCGAUACUGACGCUGAGGAGCGAAAGCGUGGGGAGCGAACAGG
rnacentral:rRNA from 1 species